rnacentral:lncRNA from 1 species
GAGUCACCUCUGGCUCCUAGAAGCCUGGCUCAGGGUCAGCUCAUUUGAAAAGCGGCUGCCUUUUCUUCUUUUCUCUUCUCUUCUCUUUUUUUUUCUCUCUCUCUUUCAUUCACAUUAUAGCUUGAGUCAGAACUUCAUUCCUUUUUAAGGCUGAAGGACCACAUUUUGCUUGUUUGUUCAUGUGAUCGAUGAUGAUGGACACUUAGGUUGUUUCCACUUUUUAGCUAUCGUAAACACUGUUGCUAAUGGAAUAUGGGUGUACAAAUAUUUCUUCAAGAUCUUGCUUUCAAUUCUUUUGGGUAUAUACCCAGAAGUGGAACUGCUGCAUCAUAUGGAAGAGGAAAUGUGGACACAGACACAAACAGAGGGAGGGCCAUGUGAGCCCAGAGCAAGAAGGCGGCCAUCUACAAGCCCCGGAGCGAGGCUGCGGGAGAAGCCAGCCCCGCUCACACCUUGACAACAAUCUCUGUUGAUUAAACCACACAGUCUGCAGUCCUCUAUUACGGAAGAACAUUCCAACACAGACCACAACACCUAUGGACCUGGAAAACAUUGUGCUCAGUGAAAGAAGCCAGACACAGAAGGACAAUGUUGUAUGAGGGACACAUUCCAGCAAAAAGACACAAAGUGACAGAAUGGCUGCCUUUGAGUGGGGGUGAGAAGAGGUGGAUGGCAGGUACCAGAAGAGAAGGGAAUAAAUAUAUGAAGAAAUACAACCCCCUCGGGCAGUGCCUGGCACAGCAUAAAUGCCCAGGAAAAAGAGGCCCAGUUGCUUACGUUCCCGGCGACAGGGCCGGGACCAGCGCCGGCUUCCUGGUGAAGGAGGCCACCCUUUCCUCUUGAGGGGUCUGAGUAUGCAUGUCAGCACCCGGUGGGCACCCAGCACCCAGCUGACCAGGGGCCUUCACCUCUGUGGGGGUUACCGGCCUGGCCCUGAGAACUGGAUGAAAGCUGGAAUAAUUCUUUCUGUAAUAAAGCAAACGCAACCACGUUCAACCUUUCCCUUCAUUUCAGAGGCUUCCCGCACCUGAUGCCUCCCACAGCCUCAGGCUGAGUCCCCAGGUGCUCCAGUGGGGGUGGCAAAGCUGAGCACUGAGUUGGUUUCCAUAGUUUUCAUCAUUAAAAUGUUUAAAUGACUAGGCCGAGCACAGUGGCUUCUCAGCAUUUUGGGAAGCCGAGGUAGGCAGAUCGCUUGAGCCCAUGAGUUUGAGACCAGCCUGGGAAACAUGGCAAAAUCCUGUCUCUACAAAAUGCAAAAAAAUUAGCCAGGUGUGGUGGUGUGUGCCUGUAGUCCCAGCUACUUGGGAGGCUGAAAUGUGAGGAUUGCUUGAGCCUGGGGAGGCUGAGAUUGCAGUGAGCCGUGAUUGUGCCACUGCACUCUAGCCUGGGUGACAGAGUGGCAGACCCUGUCUCCAAAAAAAAAAAAAAAAAAAUUAGCCUGGCAUGGUGGUGCGUGCCUGUGGUCCCAGCUACUUGGGAGGCAGAGGAGGGAAGGGCACCUGAGUCUGGGGGUGUUGAGGCUGCAGUGAGCUGUGAUGGUGCCGACGUACUUGAGCCUGGGCUACAGAGAUCUUAUCUAAAGAAAAGCCUAAAUGAAUGUGU